rnacentral:rRNA from 1 species
GACGAACGCUGGCGGCGUGCUUAACACAUGCAAGUCGAGCGGUAAGGCUCCUUCGGGAGUACACGAGCGGCGAACGGGUGAGUAACACGUGAGUAAUCUGCCCUUCACUUCGGGAUAACCACCGGAAACGGUGGCUAAUACCGAAUACGACCAGUCUUCGCAUGAGGUGCUGGUGGAAAGUCUUUUCGGUGAAGGAUGUGCUCGCGGCCUAUCAGCUUGUUGGUGGGGUAAUGGCCUACCAAGGCUUCGACGGGUAGCCGGCCUGAGAGGGUGACCGGCCACACUGGGACUGAGACACGGCCCAGACUCCUACGGGGGGCAGCAGUGGGGAAUAUUGGACAAUGGGCGAAAGCCUGAUCCAGCAACGCCGCGUGAGGGAUGACGGCCUUCGGGUUGUAAACCUCUUUCAGUACCGACGAAGCGCCCUGUCGGGUGGUGACGGUAGGUACAGAAGAAGGACCGGCCAACUACGUG